UACAGAGGUGGCAAGCGUUGUUCGGAAUUACUGGGCCUAAAGGGCGCGUAGGCGGCCUUCUAAGUCAGACGUGAAAUCCCCCGGCUUAACCUGGGAACUGCGUCUGAUACUGGGGGGCUCGAGUUUGGGAGAGGGAUGCAGAAUUCCAGGUGUAGCGGUGAAAUGCGUAGAUAUCUGGAGGAAUACCGGUGGCGAAGGCGGCAUCCUGGACCAAUACUGACGCUGAGGCGCGAAAGCUAGGGGAGCAAACGGG
rnacentral:rRNA from 1 species